rnacentral:rRNA from 1 species
CGGACGGGUGAGUAAUGUCUGGGAAACUGCCUGAUGGAGGGGGAUAACUACUGAAACGGUAGCUAAUACCGCAUAACGUCGCAAGACCAAAGAGGGGACCUUCGGGCCUCUUGCCAUCGGAUGUGCCCAGAUGGGAUUAGCUAGUAGGUGGGGUAACGGCUCACCUAGGCGACGAUCCCUAGCUGGUCUGAGAGGAUGACCAGCCACACUGGAACUGAGACACGGUCCAG